rnacentral:rRNA from 1 species
GCGCUCUUGGAGCGGCCGAUGUCUGAUUAGCUAGUUGGUGAGGUAAAGGCUUACCAAGGCGACGAUCAGUAGCUGGUCUGAGAGGACGACCAGCCACACUGGGACUGAGACACGGCCCAG